rnacentral:rRNA from 1 species
UACGUAGGUGGCAAGCGUUGUCCGGAUUUAUUGGGUUUAAAGGGUGCGUAGGCGGAUUUACAAGUCAGUGGUGAAAUCUCCCAGCUCAACUGGGAAACUGCCAUUGAAACUGUUUAUCUUGAGUACAUUUGAGGCGGGCGGAAUGUGUCAUGUAGAGGUGAAAUUCUUAGAUAUGACACAGAACACCAAUUGCGAAGGCAGCUCGCUAAACUGUAACUGACGCUGAGGCACGAAAGCGUGGGGAUCAAACAGG